CCUACGGGUGGCAGCAGUGGGGAAUAUUGGACAAUGGGCGAAAGUCUGAUCCAGCCAUGCCGCGUGUGUGAAGAAGGCCUUCGGGUUGUAAAGCACUUUCAGUGGGGAAGAAAGCCUUGGGGCUAAUACCCUCGAGGAAGGACAUCACCCACAGAAGAAGCACCGGCUAACUCCGUGCCAGCAGCCGCGGUAAUACGGAGGGUGCGAGCGUUAAUCGGAAUUACUGGGCGUAAAGCGCGCGUAGGCGGUCUGAUAAGCCGGUUGUGAAAGCCCCGGGCUCAACCUGGGAACGGCAUCCGGAACUGUCAGGCUAGAGUGCAGGAGAGGAAGGUAGAAUUCCCGGUGUAGCGGUGAAAUGCGUAGAGAUCGGGAGGAAUACCAGUGGCGAAGGCGGUCUUCUGGACUGACACUGACGCUGAGGUGCGAAAGCGUGGGUAGCAAACAGGAUUAGAUACCCGGGUAGUC
rnacentral:rRNA from 1 species